GACGAACGCUGGCGGCGUGCUUAACACAUGCAAGUCGAACGGAAAGGCCCCUUUGGGGGUUGUCGAGUGGCGAAGGGGUGGGUAAGAGGGUAGUAACCUGGCAUUGACUUCGGGAUAACUUCUGGAAACUGGGGCUAAUAGCGGAUAGGUAUUAUUGUUGCAUGAGGGGGGUGGGGAAGCUUCGGAGGUUUUGGAAGGAGUUGUGGCUUAUUGGCUUUUUGGUGGGGGAGUGGCUUAGCAGGGCUUUGACGGGUAGCCCGCCAGAGAGAGCGACAGGCAACAUUGGGACCGAGAGAAGGCCCAGGCGCCUACGGUAGGCAGCAGGGGGGAAGAUUGAUCAAUGGGCGGAAGCCGGAUGCAGAAACGCCGCGGGCGGUAUGACAGCCUUCGCGUUGAAAACCGCAUUCAACAGGGGCGAAUCUUGUAGUGACGGUACCUGCAGAAGAAGCACCGGCUAACUCCGUG
rnacentral:rRNA from 1 species